AAUAGAUACCCAGGUAGUCCACGCCGUAAACGUUGGGCGCUAGAUGUGGGGACCAUUCCACGGUUUCCGCGUCGUAGCUAACGCAUUAAGCGCCCCGCCUGGGGAGUACGGCCGCAAGGCUAAAACUCAAAGGAAUUGACGGGGGCCCGCGACAAGCGGCGGAGCAUGCGGAUUAAUUCGAUGCAACGCGAAGAACCUUACCAAGGCUUGACAUAUGCGAGAACGCUCUAGAAAUAGAGAACUCUUUGGACACUCGUAUACAGGUGGUGCAUGGUUGUCGUCAGCUCGUGUCGUGAGAUGUUGGGUUAAGUCCCGCAACGAGCGCAACCCUCGUCGCAUGUUGCCAGCACGUAAUGGUGGGAACUCGAUGUGAGACUGCCGGGGUCAACUCGGAGGAAGGUGGGGAUGACGUCAAAUCAUCAUGCCCCUUAUGUCUUGGGCUUCACGCAUGCUACAAUGGCCGGUACAAAGGGCUGCGAAACCGCAAGGUGGAGCGAAUCCCAAAAAGCCGGUCUCAGUUCGGAUUGAGGU
rnacentral:rRNA from 1 species